GUUAAGGGCCUGAUCCAAAGCCUACUGAAGUCACUGGGAGUCUUCUUAUUGCCUACAAUGGGCUUUGGGUCAGUCCCCAAUAC
rnacentral:pre_miRNA from 1 species